rnacentral:rRNA from 1 species
CCUACGGGUGGCAGCAGUGGGGAAUAUUGCGCAAUGGGCGAAAGCCUGACGCAGCGACGCCGCGUGGGGGAUGAAGGCCUUCGGGUUGUAAACCCCUUUCGGCAGGGACGCGGUACCUGCAGAAGAAGCGCCGGCUAACUACGUGCCAGCAGCCGCGGUAACACGUAGGGCGCAAGCGUUGUCCGGAAUCAUUGGGCGUAAAGAGCUCGUAGGUGGUUUGUCACGUCUGCUGUGAAAACUCGGGGCUUAACCCCGAGCUUGCAGUGGAUACGGGCAGACUAGAGGUAGGUAGGGGAGAAUGGAAUUCCCGGUGUAGCGGUGAAAUGCGCAGAUAUCGGGAGGAACACCGGUGGCGAAGGCGGUUCUCUGGGCCUACUGACACUGAGGAGCGAAAGCGUGGGGAGCGAACAGGAUUAGAUACCCUUGUAGUC